rnacentral:rRNA from 1 species
GACAGAGGGUGCAAGCGUUGUUCGGAAUUACUGGGCGUAAAGGGCGCGUAGGCGGUCCGCUAAGUUCGGCGUGAAAUCCCCUGGCUCAACUGGGGAACGGCGCUGGAUACUGGUGGACUCGAGUACCGGAGAGGAGAGUGGAAUUCCUGGUGUAGCGGUGAAAUGCGUAGAUAUCAGGAGGAACACCGGUGGCGAAGGCGGCUCUCUGGACGGAUACUGACGCUGAGGCGCGAAAGCGUGGGGAGCAAACAGG